CAGUGUGGAGCUGUCAUCCCACUUUUCAUUACGGUCAUCAUCGCUGCCCUGGCUGGCCUGGCUGCCACCAGAAUUGCUGAGUAGCUGGAACUGCAGUCAUGUGCCACCAUUCCCAGCCAGAAGUUUCUAUUAUCCUAUUUGGUAUUCUUAAUCAUCACAUAUUUUAUUCAAGGAUAUACUAAAGUGAUUACAUAUUUUUUCUACUGUAGUCUUUUGAUCAAAUAAAGAACCUAAAUAAUUUAUUUUUUGAGACAGAGUCUUGCUCUGUCACCCAGGCCGCAGUGCAGUGGUGCCAUCACAGCUCACUGCAACCUCUGCCUCCUGGGUUCAAGCAAUUAUCCUGCCUUAGCCUCCUGAGUAGCUGGGACUACAGGCGUGUGCCACCACACCUUGCUAAUUUUUGUCUUUUUAGUAGAGACGGGGUUUCACCAUGUUGGUCAGGUUGGUCUCAAACUCCCGACCUCAGGUGAUCUGCCCACCUUGGCCUCCCAAAGCAUUGGGAUUAUAGGCGUGAGCCACUGUGCCCAGCCUUGAUUUUAUUUUUAAUAGUAAAAUGUACUUGAAUAGUUUUUGGCGUAAUCUGGUAGUAGAAAUACACAAGAUAUCACCAUUAGAUACUGCUAAUCAAACACUUAAAAGGUGCAAGUAUCCAGGUGAUUUUGUAUACAAUCUGGGUCUUUUUGUCAGACUAACGAGUAUAAUGAGAUUUGAUAUUUGCUUCUGAUGUUGCUGGACAAACUGGGUAAAGAAAAGGAUUAAGUCAGGGAUUCCAAGUUUUUAAUACAAGUACUGCAUUAAUAUCCUAAAAAUUUAUAUGUAGCCCUGAAGAAGAUACUUAACUCCUGCAGCUUCAGGGCUCAAAAUGCUGAAAAGAAAUCAUAGCAUCUCAUCCCAUAACUGGCUGAAUUACAACAAAAAUUAAAUUCCCAGGCUUGCAGGAUGCCUACUUUUAAAGUGGGGGUAUUCAUUCAGAAAACAUUGGAUAUUAAAAAGUUAAAAUGAGGGCCAGGUGCGGUGGCUCACACCUGUAAUCCCAGCAUUUUGGGAGGCUGAGGUGGGAGGAUCACCUGAGGUUGGGAGUUCGAGACCAGCCUGGCCAACAUGGAGAAACCCCUUCUCUACUAAAAAUACAAAAUUAGCUGGGUGUAGUGGUGCAUGUCUGUAAUCCCAGCUACUCAGGAGGCUGAGGCAGGAGAAUCACUUGAAGCCGGGAGGUGGAGGUUUCGGUGAGCCGAGAUCGCACCAUUGCACUCCAGCCCCUGGGCAACAAGAGUG
rnacentral:lncRNA from 10 species